AAUACAUGCAACCAAGCUCCAACCUUACGGAAGGAGCGCAUUUAUUAGACCAAGACCAAUCAGCUCUGCUGAAACUUGGUGACUCUGAAUAACUUUGCUGAUCACACGGUCUAGCACCGGUGACAUAUCUUUCAAGUGUCUGCCCUAUCAACUGUCGAUGGUAGUUUAUGUGCCUACCAUGGUUGUAACGGGUAACGGAGAAUAAGGGUUCGACUCCGGAGAGGGAGCCUGAGAAAUGGCUACCACAUCCAAGGAAGGCAGCAGGCGCGCAAAUUACCCACUCUCAGUACGAGGAGGUAGUGACGAAAAAUAACAAGACGGUUCUCUUUGAGGCCCGUCAUUGGAAUGGGUACAAUUUAAACCCUUUAACGAGGAUCUACUGGAGGGCAAGUCUGGUGCCAGCAGCCGCGGUAAUUCCAGCUCCAGUAGCAUAUACCAAUGUUGCUGCUGUUAAAAAGCUCGUAGUUGACUUGGAUCGGGUUAGCCUCGGUCUCUCUCAUGAGUUGUACUGAAGCUACCGAUAAUAUUGCUGGUUUUCUCAUGGUGCUCUUAAUUGAGUGUCUUGGGUGGCUAGCGGAUUUACUUUGAAAAAAUUAGAGUGCUCAAAACAGGCGGUACUGCCCGAAUAGUGGUGCAUGGAAUAAUGGAAUAGGAUCUCGGUUCUAUUUUGUUGGUUUUAGGAGCGGAGAUAAUGACUAAUAGGAACAGACGGGGGCAUUUGUAUUGCGGCGUUAGAGGUGAAAUUCUUGGAUCGCCGCAAGACAAACAACUGCGAAAGCAUUUGCCAAGAAUGUUUUCAUUAAUCAAGAACGAAAGUUAGAGGUUCGAAGGCGAUCAGAUACG
rnacentral:rRNA from 1 species